GACGAACCGUGCGAACGUUAUUCGGAAUCACUGGGCUUAAAGCGCGUGUAGGCGGGCGCGAACGUCGGCUGCUGAAAUCCCCCGGCUUAACCGGGGAACUGGCACCGAUACGGCGCGCCUGGAGGGGGGUAGGGGGGCCUGGAACUUCCGGUGGAGCGGUGAAAUGCGUUGAGAUCGGAAGGAACGCCCGUGGCGAAAGCGAGGCCCUGGACCCUUACUGACGCUGAGACGCGAAAGCCAGGGGAGCGAACGGG
rnacentral:rRNA from 1 species